rnacentral:rRNA from 1 species
AGUGAACGCUGGCGGUAGGCCUAACACAUGCCAGUCGAACGGCAGCACAGUAAGAGCUUGCUCUUACGGGUGGCGAGUGGCGGACGGGUGAGGAAUACAUCGGAAUCUACUUUUUCGUGGGGGAUAACGUAGGGAAACUUACGCUAAUACCGCAUACGACCUACGGGUGAAAGCAGGGGAUCUUCGGACCUUGCGCGAUUGAAUGAGCCGAUGUCGGAUUAGCUAGUUGGCGGGGUAAAGGCCCACCAAGGCGACGAUCCGUAGCUGGUCUGAGAGGAUGAUCAGCCACACUGGAACUGCGACACGGUCCAGACUCCUACGGGAGGCAGCAGUGGGGAAUAUUGGACAAUGGGCGCAAGCCUGAUCCAGCCAUACCGCGUGGGCGAAGAAGGCCUUCGGGUUGUAAAGCCCUUUUGUUGGGAAAGAAAAGCAGCAGGUUAAUACCCCGCUGUUCUGACGGUACCCAAAGAAUAAGCACCGGCUAACUUCGUG